UUCACAGCGGGGUUACUGUCAAAAAGGCAGGAGUUCUUUAUACGUUAAAUGUUAAUACAUAGUUAAAGAUGUAAAUGACAAAAUAUUUGAGAAAAAUUCCAUAAGAAAUCUGUUGACGGCUUUUUUAAUAGAUAUUUAGGAUGGAUUCAUAAGGGCUUAAAAUUAUAAGAGAAAGGUGUGCUUAGGCUUCUCUGCAAGUGUAUGUUUAAGUGGUUCUUCAAAGCAGAAAGGCACUAUUAAGUACCGAUCAAUAAGCUUUGAGUACUGUUUUAAGCAGUUAUAUUUUUCCACUGGAACCUGUACAUGCUGGGAAACCCCAUCUGCCGUCCUUCCCCCAACGCUGCCUGCACUGGGAAAACUGACAAAGAAUGGCACCCAAGGCCCAGUUGUAUGUGUCUGGCAGCCAGUGCAACCUGCCUUUCUGACACGGUGAUCCCACUCAAGUGCCCAGUAGCCAUCCAUGGGCACAGCCCCAGCUCCUGACUGAUACAUCAUCCCCUGAGGUCUAAAACCUCACUGCCUUACCUCUGACUGCAAAUCCUAAAAGUCUGGUCUUUGGGACUAAAGAACCCACAGGAACGAGUGCCCUGCACUUACUUGCUUUUAAUCGGGUCUAAUCUGGCCUAUAUUUGUAUCACCAAGAGAGAAAAUACUUAGUGAUAUUUUUUUUAUUUCUACAGAUGAAUGUGAAUUAUUUUGAUCGUACCUCUCCUGUUAUUCUUCUGACUGCAUUACUAUAUUACUACUUCUUUUCAACAUAUUCCCCUCUUGUCUUUUUUUGUGGGGUUUUUGUUGUUGUUUUGUUUUUAUGAGACUGAAUUUAGUUAGGAUUACUUGCAUAAGUGUAGGUGGUAGUGUUAACAAAAUAACGAAGUGAGUUUUAGGUUUUGGCUUUUUUGGUUGUUUCUGGGUGCAUCUAAAAACUGACUAUAAUGGUACCAUUUAUUCAUUUAUCUAUUUGUGGUUUUGUUUUGUUUUUCAACCUGAGGGUAGAGUUUUCUGGGAAGAAGAACCUCAAUUUAAAAAAAAAAAAAAUGUCCCCUUGUAGAUUGCCUAGGGGUAAAUCUGGGGCAUUUUCUUGAUUAAUGAUUCUGUGGGAAGGGCCAGCCCACUGUGGAUAGUACCACCCCUCACAGGUAGUCCUGGACAGUAUUAAAAAGCAGGCUGAGCAAGCUAAGGGAAGCAACACAGCAACAUUCUCCAAGGUUAGGGAUUCAGUUCCUGCUUUCAGGUCCCUGCCUGAGUUCAUACUUUGGUUUUCCUGAUGAUGGGCUGUAGUCUGUAAACCAAAUAAACCCUUUUCUUCACAAGUUGAUUGUCAUGAUGUUUCUCACAGCACUAGAAACCAUUAUUGAGAUAAGUAAAUUUGAAAAUAACAUAUAUACCUUAGUCUACAAUGCUACUAAUAAAAAUGGUUAUAUUCAUCAUGUGUUUAGGGGUUUUGUUUUUUAUUUAUUUUCCUUAGAAGGGUCUUCAGCUCUAGUGCUGAUUCCUAACUGCCUAGAGUGUUUUUUAUUGAAAGCUGGCUGACUGUGGCAUUUUUUCAAAAUGAAAGCAAAGUUUAGGAAUUUGAUGGGUCUUUACAUCAAAUAUUUCUCUGCUCCAAUGCUGUUUGAUUCCUUUUUCACCCAGAAGACUACUUUAAGAUUGGAAAUUAUUCUCACAAACCCUACAGUUGUUUCAUCAACUAAGUUUUGUAAGAGUUUCAAUUACUGACAUUUCAACCAAGUUCAUAUGUCUUUAUUAGUACGUAGUAAUUAGUAAUUUCUAUUAAUAAUUCCCCCCAUCUUGAGGAAACCCUCUCUUUGGUCAGUUACAGAGAGUCUUCAUCCAUUAAAAUUUUUAUCAUGAG
rnacentral:lncRNA from 1 species